rnacentral:rRNA from 1 species
GAUGAACGCUGGCGGCGUGCCUAAUACAUGCAAGUCGAGCGAACAGACGAGGAGCUUGCUCCUCUGACGUUAGCGGCGGACGGGUGAGUAACACGUGGAUAACCUACCUAUAAGACUGGGAUAACUUCGGGAAACCGGAGCUAAUACCGGAUAACAUGUUGAACCGCAUGGUUCAACAGUGAAAGACGGUUUUGCUGUCACUUAUAGAUGGAUCCGCGCCGCAUUAGCUAGUUGGUAAGGUAACGGCUUACCAAGGCAACGAUGCGUAGCCGACCUGAGAGGGUGAUCGGCCACACUGGAACUGAGACACGGUCCAGACUCCUACGGGAGGCAGCAGUAGGGAAUCUUCCGCAAUGGGCGAAAGCCUGACGGAGCAACGCCGCGUGAGUGAAGAAGGUCUUCGGAUCGUAAAACUCUGUUAUUAGGGAAGAACAAAUGUGUAAGUAACUAUGCACGUCUUGACGGUACCUAAUCAGAAAGCCACGGCUAACUAC